rnacentral:rRNA from 1 species
CKGAGAAAGGCCUGAGAAACGGCUACCACAUCCAAGGAAGGCAGCCKGCGCGUAAAUUACCCAAUCCUGACACAGGGAGGUAKUGACAAUAAAUAACAAUGCCGGGCCUUUAUAGGUCUGGCGAUUGGAAUGAGAACAAUUUAAAUCCCUUAUCSAGGAUCAAUUGGAGGGCAAGUCUGGUGCCAGCAG